rnacentral:rRNA from 1 species
GACGAACGCUGGCGGCAGGCCUAACACAUGCAAGUCGAGCGGAGCGGCGGACGGGUGAGUAAUGCCUAGGAAUCUGCCUGGUAGUGGGGGAUAACGUCCGGAAACGGGCGCUAAUACCGCAUACUAUAAGAUGCACCUAGGUCGGAUUAGCUAGUUGUUGGGGUAAAGGCCUACCAAGGCGACGAUCCGUAACUGGUCUGAGAGGAUGAUCAGUCACAUUGAAACUGAGACACGGUCCAGACUCCUACGGUAGGCAGCAGGGGGGAAUAGUGGACAAUUGGCGAAAGCCUGAUCCAGCCAUGCCGCGUGUGUGAAGAAGUUCUUCGGAUUGUAAAGCACUGUAAGUUGGGAGGCGUUACCAACAGAAUAAGCACCGGCUAACUUCGUGCCAGCAGCCGCGGUAAUUC